rnacentral:rRNA from 1 species
GACGAGCGCUGGCGGCGUGCCUAAUACAUGCAAGUAGAACGCUGAAGGAGGAGCUUGCUUCUCUGGAUGAGUUGCGAACGGGUGAGUAACGCGUAGGUAACCUGCCUGGUAGCGGGGGACAACUAUUGGAAACGAUAGCUAAUACCGCAUAACAGUAGAUAUCGCAUGAUAUCUACUUGAAAGGUGCAAUUGCAUCACUACCAGAUGGACCCGCGUUGUAUUAGCUAGUUGGUGAGGUAACGGCUCACCAAGGCGACGAUACAUAGCCGACCUGAGAGGGGGAUCGGCCACACUGGGACUGGGACACGGCCCAGACUCCUACGGGAGGCAGCAGUAGGGAAUCUUCGGCAAUGGACGGAAGUCUGACCGAGCAGCGCCGCGUGGGUGAAGAAGGGUUUCGGAUCGGAAAGCUCUGUUGUAAGAGAAGAACGGGUGUGAGAGUGGAAAGUUCACACUGUGACGGUAUCUUAACAGAAAGGGACGGCUAACUACGUG